AGUCGAGUGCGCGGUUGUAGCAAUACAACUGGCGCACGGCGCACGGGUGCGUAACACGUGGGUAACCUGCCCUUUGGUGGGGAAUAACUCCGCGAAAGCGGAGCUAAUUCCGCAUAAGAUCCGCAAGGAUGAAAGCAGCAAUGCGCCGAAGGAGGGGCCCGCGCCCGAUUAGCUAGUUGGUGAGGUAAUGGCUCACCAAGGCAUUGAUCGGUAGCUGGUCUGAGAGGAUGAUCAGCCACACUGGAACUGAGACACGGUCCAGACUCCUACGGGAGGCAGCAGUGGGGAAUCUUGCACAAUGGGCGAAAGCCUGAUGCAGCGACGCCGCGUGGGGGAUGAAGCAUUUCGGUGUGUAAACCCCUUUCGAUCCGGACGAAACCCCGCAAGGGAUUGACGGUACGGAUAUAAGAAGCCCCGGCUAACUACGUGCCAGCAGCCGCGGUAAGACGUAGGGGGCCAGCGUUGUUCGGAAUUACUGGGUGUAAAGGGUUCGUAGGCGGUGCGGCAAGUUGGGAGUGAAAUCUCUGGGCUUAACCCAGAGGCUGCUUCCAAAACUGCUGUGCUUGAGUGUGGGAGAGGCGCGUGGAAUUGCAGGUGUAGCGGUGAAAUGCGUAGAUAUCUGCAGGAACACCCGUGGCGAAAGCGGCGCGCUGGACCACUACUGACGCUGUGGAACGAAAGCUAGGGGAGCAAACAGGAUUAGAUACCCUGGUAGUCCUAGCCCUAAACGAUCAGGACUUGGGGUGCCACCCGUUCGGGUGUCGUCCCGGAGCUAACGCGUUAAGUCCUGCACCUGGGG
rnacentral:rRNA from 1 species